rnacentral:rRNA from 1 species
UACGAAGGGGGCUAGCGUUGCUCGGAAUCACUGGGCGUAAAGGGCGCGUAGGCGGCCAUUCAAGUCGGGGGUGAAAGCCUGUGGCUCAACCACAGAAUUGCCUUCGAUACUGUUUGGCUUGAGUAUGGCAGAGGUUGGUGGAACUGCGAGUGUAGAGGUGAAAUUCGUAGAUAUUCGCAAGAACACCAGUGGCGAAGGCGGCCAACUGGGCCAUUACUGACGCUGAGGUGCGAAAGCGUGGGGAGCAAACAGG